CCCGGAUAACAGCAUAACACAGGCUCCCGUCAUUCCCAAAAUAUGAGACAUCAAAGGUUGUCCAGGAUAACAGCAUAACACAGGCUCCCGUCAUUCCCAAAAUAUGAGACAUCAAAGGUUGUCCCGGAUAACAGCAUAACACAGGCUCCCGUCAUUCCCAAAAUAUGAGACAUCAAAGGUUGUCCAGGAUAACAGCAUAACACGGGCCCCCGUCAUUCCCAAAAUAUGAGACAUCAAAGGUUGUCCCGGAUAACAGCAUAACACAGGCUCCCGUCAUUCCCAAAAUAUGAGACAUCAAAGGUUGUCCAGGAUAACAGCAUAACACAGGCUCCCGUCAUUCCCAAAAUAUGAGACAUCAAAGGUUGUCCCGGAUAACAGCAUAACACAGGCUCCCGUCAUUCCCAAAAUAUGAGACAUCAAAG
ensembl:lncRNA